GGGCAUUUGGUCUAGUGGUAUGAUUCUCGCUUAGGGUGCGAGAGGUCCAGGUCCCGAGUUCAAUUCUCGGAAUGCCCC
rnacentral:tRNA from 1 species